CCUAAGGCGAGGCCGAAAGGCGUAGUCGAUGGGAAACGGGUUAAUAUUCCCGUACUUGGUGUUACUGCGAAGGGGGGACGGAGAAGGCUAUGUUGGCCGGGCGACGGUUGUCCCGGUUUAAGCGUGUAGGUGUGUGUUCCAGGUAAAUCCGGUUCACUUUAACACUGAGGCGUGAUGACGAGGCACUACGGUGCUGAAGCAACAAAUGCCCUGCUUCCAGGAAAAGCCUCUAAGCAUCAGGUAACAUCAAAUCGUACCCCAAACCGACACAGGUGGUCAGGUAGAGAAUACCAAGGCGCUUGAGAGAACUCGGGUGAAGGAACUAGGCAAAAUGGUGCCGUAACUUCGGGAGAAGGCACGCUGACACGUAGGUGAAGUGAUUUACUCAUGGAGCUGAAGUCAGUCGAAGAUACCAGCUGGCUGCAACUGUUUAUUAAAAACACAGCACUGUGCAAACACGAAAGUGGACGUAUACGGUGUGACGCCUGCCCGGUGCCGGAAGGUUAAUUGAUGGGGUCAGCGCAAGCGAAGCUCCUGAUCGAAGCCCCGGUAAACGGCGGCCGUAACUAUAACGGUCCUAAGGUAGCGAAAUUCCUUGUCGGGUAAGUUCCGACCUGCACGAAUGGCGUAAUGAUGGCCAGGCUGUCUCCACCCGAGACUCAGUGAAAUUGAACUCGCUGUGAAGAUGCAGUGUACCCGCGGCAAGACGGAAAGACCCCGUGAACCUUUACUAUAGCUUGACACUGAACAUUGAGCCUUGAUGUGUAGGAUAGGUGGGAGGCUUUGAAGUGUGGACGCCAGUCUGCAUGGAGCCGACCUUGAAAUACCACCCUUUAAUGUUUGAUGUUCUAACGUGGACCCGUAAUCCGGGUUGCGGACAGUGUCUGGUGGGUAGUUUGACUGGGGCGGUCUCCUCCUAAAGAGUAACGGAGGAGCACGAAGGUUGGCUAAUCCUGGUCGGACAUCAGGAGGUUAGUGCAAUGGCAUAAGCCAGCUUGACUGCGAGCGUGACGGCGCGAGCAGGUGCGAAAGCAGGUCAUAGUGAUCCGGUGGUUCUGAAUGGAAGGGCCAUCGCUCAACGGAUAAAAGGUACUCCGGGGAUAACAGGCUGAUACCGCCCAAGAGUUCAUAUCGACGGCGGUGUUUGGCACCUCGAUGUCGGCUCAUCACAUCCUGGGGCUGAAGUAGGUCCCAAGGGUAUGGCUGUUCGCCAUUUAAAGUGGUACGCGAGCUGGGUUUAGAACGUCGUGAGACAGUUCGGUCCCUAUCUGCCGUGGGCGCUGGAGAACUGAGGGGGGCUGCUCCUAGUACGAGAGGACCGGAGUGGACGCAUCACUGGUGUUCGGGUUGUCAUGCCAAUGGCACUGCCCGGUAGCUAAAUGCGGAAGAGAUAAGUGCUGAAAGCAUCUAAGCACGAAACUUGCCCCGA
rnacentral:rRNA from 1 species